CUUACAAGAAAUAUUUUGAAAUCAACCCAGUAGAAAAAGAUUUGGCCACAAACCUUUUUGUCUGCUCUAUGAAAGUUGGCAUCUUCAGCGAACCACACUUGUCAUUUCCCUUAAAAUAUAUUUCCAAAACUUGCAUUUCAAUGGUUUCUUCAUCUGUCGAUUCUGUUUCUAACUCCUCCAUGUCCUCCACCGUUCAACAAGAUCAGAUCGUGAAGUGGAUACGAGUUGAGCUCUUGAGCCAGUGGGUUAAGACUAGGUCCCGAUAGACAGGUUGAGAGUUCUUCUAGU